GUUACUUCGGUACAUCGGUGACAGGUGGUGCAUGGUUGUCGUCAGCUCGUGUCGUGAGAUGUUGGGUUAAGUCCCGCAACGAGCGCAACCCCUACGUUUAGUUGCUAACGCGUGAAGGCGAGCACUCUAGACGAACUGCCGUUGACAAAACGGAGGAAGGUGGGAUGACGUCAAAUCAUCAUGCCCCUUAUGUUCUGGGCUACACACGUGCUACAAUGGCCGGUACAGACGGACGCAAAGCCGCGAGGUGGAGCAAAUCCUAAAAAGCCGGUCUCAGUUCGGAUUGCAGGCUGCAAUUCGCCUGCAUGAAGUCGGAAUCGCUAGUAAUCGCAGGUCAGCAUACUGCGGUGAAUACGUUCCCGGGCCUU
rnacentral:rRNA from 1 species